UCUUUGAUGUGUUUUCUGGACUCCAUGCC
rnacentral:piRNA from 1 species